CACCCACCCCUUCCCAUUGUGCCCUGCCCCUCUUCAUGCAAGGAUUCAGGGACGUCCUGCGGUUCUCUUCAUGACUUUGAAGGCUGGACUUGGGGAAAACCUCAGCGGCUCCAGACAUCCUUGUAAGGCAAAGGCAACCAGGGACGUCCUGCGGUUCUCUUCAUGACUUUGAAGGCUGGACUUGGGGAAAACCUCAGCGGCUCCAGACAUCCCUGUAAGGCAAAGGCAAACAG